AGAUUUCCCACAAGGCUCAUUAAAGGCUGGUUUAUUACGAUUGCCGGUCUGAGGGUCUUUACCUUGACCACCUAGGAUCCGGCUUACGUAGGUGUUCAUCAGGAACCCUAACUCCAACUCCAAGUCCUCCUCGAUCAGGCAUUCAUCGAGGCGUCCGCUGCUGCAUCGGAAACUGGUGUUACUCUUAGCAAGGACAACAACACCAAAACAAUAUGCGUUAAGGAGCAUCAUGAUCAUGAUCAUCAGCUUCGAUAGGAUUGAU